rnacentral:rRNA from 1 species
UACGGGGGGAGCAAGCGUUGUUCGGAAUCACUGGGCGUAAAGGGCGCGUAGGCGGUUUGGUAAGUGAGAUGUGAAAGGCUCCGGCUCACCCGGAGAGAUGCAUCUCAUACUGUCAAGCUAGAGUGCAGCAGAGGAGACGAGAAUUCCAGGUGUAGCGGUGAAAUGCGUAGAUAUCUGGAGGAAUACCGGUGGCGAAGGCGCGUCUCUGGGCUGCUACUGACGCUGAUGCGCGAUAGCCAGGGGAGCAAACGGG